rnacentral:misc_RNA from 1 species
GAUGAAGAACGCAGCGAAAUGCGAUAAGUAAUGUGAAUUGCAGAAUUCAGUGAAUCAUCGAAUCUUUGAACGCACAUUGCGCCCGCCAGUAUUCUGGCGGGCAUGCCUGUUCGAGCGUCAUUUCAGCCAUCAAGCCCCCGGGCUUGUGUUGGGGACCUGCGGCUGCCGCAGGCCCUGAAAAGCAGUGGCGGGCUCGCUGUCACACCGAGCGUAGUAGAUUUUAUCUCGCUCAGGGCGUGCUGCGGGUUCCGGCCGUUAAACCACCUUCAUAACCCAAGGUUGACCUCGGAUCAGGUAGGAAGACCCGCUGAACUUAAGCAUAUCAAUAAGCGGAGGA